CACCACUCACAGGGCCAUUAGACACAUGAAACCCUACACCGCUCCGCUCCCGCUAAUGACCACUGAUUGCCCGGAGUGGUGAGGAAAGAAAUUUGCAGACUAGGUUAGACCCAGAAGCACACUCAGCCCCACUGCGAAUGAAGCUGGCUCCAGCAGGACGUGAUGAAAAUUGAACAUUAACGCGGUGGCACAGGACAGAUAUGACCUGGCUCUGAUUCAUUUUGUUAACAAGCUGUAAAACUCGACACACUGCUGGAGGCAUGCACGUUGCAUCCUCUGCCUUUGCUAUCCGAGGUGCUAUCGCCCCUCUCGAGCCGAGUUCAGGGAAAAGGAGUUGUAAGUUAGACCCUCUUGGAAUAGUGGACCUGUUUUAUACAAUAUUUUUGGCAAUUCCACUACAAUAAAAGGAGUAACCAAGUCCUAUUCGGCAAGAAGCAAUCACCUUGAAAUAGAACUUUAUAAUUAUCUAGUAAAGCUUUAUCAUCAAAUUCGCUGAUGAGGGCAUAGUAGCUAAUUUCCAUGCAUUCUUUCAAUUUUAAUAACAGGCACUAAAAAAAGUGAAAUUCAGAGAUGAGAGCAAAUUGUAUGAUUGUAAAUCCUGAGUUUGUAUUCACCUGCAUUCAGCUAAUUCAAAGUAUGCACCUUGCUGCAGUUACCCGGGGUAUGGAAUUAACAACAGUAAAUAGCUGCCUCUCGAGAUAUUAUUCUGUCAUUUUUAAUCUUUAAUUAUAAGAAUUCCCGCGAUUGGCCACUAACGCUUUCCUUGUAACACAUUUAAACCUGCUGCAAGUAAAGGAAAUACCUUGACUUUUUGCACAACUAGUGUAGCUUUGGCACGCAAAAAGAUUUUUUAAAAAUUAAAAUGAGCUACGUAAGAGAAGAAAUGUAAAUCAGAAUACAAGGACGAAUAGACUACCUCAGUCUGCAACUCUAGUAAUUUGUUGCUGGAAGUUUUUUUUCUUCCAAGAAACAGAAAUGCAAAAAACAACCCAAGCACACCUCAAAUGUAGUGCCUUAUUAAACAAGAAGCGGGAAUGGGACAAGAGAUAAUUAAGGCAUCAGAUACAUCUAACCGCCCACCUAGCUCCAAAUCGGGGGAGCAUCCCGCUGCACUCCCGAAAUUCCAGCGCAGGGAAAGACACUGGGCUGGGGCAGGACACGGCAGGGAUGCGGCCACGCCAGGAACGCUCUCCAGCUUGUUGCUUCCCCUGUGUGAUCAAUUAAGUUACAGAUGGAACUCACAGCGCCCGAGAGCGGCAACUUUUCGGCGGCAGGAAAAGAGGAUUCCUUGGGCAUUGUAUGCAAAUGUGAGUGUGUGUGUGUGUGUGUGUGCGCGCUGCACGGGGAUAAUUGUGAUUCCCUCUUUGUUUGCAUAACUGAACACCCGCCGUGCGGAUCCGUAUACACGUGCCGAGAAACAAGAAAACGCUUCCACUUGGAGCCUUACCCCACGUUUAGACACCGCCUUUGGAAUUACUGCCCUUGCUUUGGCUUCAUGAGGGCUAAAGGCAGGCAGAUGUUAAGGAGGGAUGCUGACCUGCUGGGGGUGCCUGCGCAGGGAAGGGACCGCAGGCGCUCACAUCAGGUCGGGGCACUUACCUGUGCACAGCUGUCAUGGCAUUUUGCGCCGUGUGUCUCACCAAAUGCGCUAAAGUAAAGCAACAUUCAACAAGCGAGGCAACCUGGCUGUGCGCUAAGUUGUACGUAGCGCAUCUUAAACCUGAGCAGCAAACCUGCAACUCCUGGAGAGCUGGCGGAACAGUCUCAGAAGUUUUGGAUUCAAAGGGCAAGAAAUUUCACUUUAAAAGUCAUUCACCCACUACUAUACUGCCCUCUCAUCCCAGUUAAUGCCGGACAAUUAAGAGGCACGCUUAUAAAUUCCCUCUGCGGACACUGUCCGACAAUGAAGGCUUGUUAUAGGCUUGCUAAAGAUGUUCAGAGAAACUUUUGCAAAAUAAUCAACAGCAUCUGAGAGAAAGCUAAAGGAAAAUAAGUUAGAGCCUGAUAAUCCGAUGGGGGAAAAGUUUUGUUAGACUGGAUAGAAGUAAAUUACUGCACGUUUCUUCAAAAGCAAACCCAUCAGCUGAUACUAGUUCCCCUAGAACAAGAACCUCUGGCGAACUCCUCCAAAUUUAGGGGAUGUUUGCAUUUUGUAACACUCAAAGCUAAAGAUCUACCUGAAAACAAAAACUCUGAAUUCCUUACAGACUCAUCUGCCAACAAAAUGUAUUGUCUUGGCAGAAAAAGGAUCAAGGAGAUUUUAAUUUCAUUUUAAACUGUGCAUCAUCUUGAUAGCGAAGGAAAAAGCCGCAGCAACAAUCUCCCCGCUCCACGCCCCCGCCGUUCAAAAAAAAAAAAAAAAAAAAAAGGAAGGGGGGGGGGGAGAAGAGAGAACUGGAAAAACCACAUAAACUUUUACAAAGAAAAUAAAAGCAAGUUCGACAUGAAAACCCCUUCCUGUCUCAGAAAGUUCAUUUUAAAGGUCCCUUCUGUAAAUCUAAAGUGCAAACACCAGGCUAAGGUAGUGAGUGGCUGGAAUUUGCAUGCUGAUAAGAGAAGGCUGUUGUACUUACAGUGACAGAGGGCAGGCUGCGGAAGAAAAGCUGUUUGUGUUAGCCUGAGAGUCACCCAGGGCUGCAAUGAGAGGAGAAGAGAGGAGUGGGAGUGCCAAGCUGGAUACACCUUCACCGCAUCUCAUCACAUCUGCCAGCCUCUCUCUCCCUCUCUCUUUCAUUUCCACAUUCCCUUUGUUCCUGAAAAAAAAAAUCUACACGUCACAUCAGUCCCCAGAUGCAGUCUACACCAAAGAAAAAAAAUGAAUAAUUCAAUCAAACUGUGCAUAGUCUCUAAGGCAAUAAAUCUAUUGCACUUAAAGAAACGAAGGGUAAUUACCGCUAUAGAAUUAGAAUAAGGCCAGAGCGCCAGGGAUCCCAGGGUCUGUAAACUCCACGGUCAAAUAAAGUUUCAUUUAUUUAAUCCUUUGACAACCCCAAUGUAAACUAAAGGGGAGGAUCAGAACUUAUUCCGGUUGGGUUUGAGAAUGCUUGAAGUGUAUGUUAUAAAAGGAGAGCGCCCGUGGUCUGUGACAAACACAAUGCAAGGGAGUAGAAGUGUUUCACUGCAUCACCUCCAGGGUCCGUUCCCCCCUCCCUAAUGAAGAGCAGACCACACUCCCACUUCCACCGGCUCCUGCUGCUCGCUGCAAGUGCAGCGGGGAUCGCUGGCAGCCAGCAGCCGCCUUACCUGCUCCCGAGCGCCAGCACAGCCUGACAAAAACUCAGGGGAACCGGCAAUUUUGUUCCACGCUCUGGCGGAGAGAAGCCUCGGGGGAUUUGCACCGGCAAGGAUUGCCUCGGAGCGGUGCCCCUGCCUCGCGGAUGUGUGCGGGGCUGAGGCGGGGGACAGCCCGCCGGGGGCGGGGGGAGCCCGGCGGGAGCGGAGCCCGGCGGGGCGGGCGCGGCGGCGCUGCCGGAGCGCGGGGACGGACCGGCCGGGGCGGGAGGCAGGAGCCGCGCUGCUCCCGCGGCUGCCUCGCAGGCUGCUCCCUCGGCUCGGAGGUAAGAUCACUCUACAUUGUGUUUGUCCCCCCACGGGUACCCUGGGUGCCAGCGGCGCGCUGUGCGCUGACGAGAGCGGCGGCUCGGGGCUGUGGCUCAGCUCCCGGUGCCCGAACCGAGCUGGAGCUUAACGUCGGCAUCUGCCGCUUUACACUCUCCAUCACAUUCUUUGCAAACUUCUCUUGAGGGGCUGGGGGAGGAGUGAGGCGGAGAGGGGGAGGGGGAAACUAACCCCAGGUGAGACCGCGCUCUUGAGAUGCCGCAGACCCUCGCUCCGACGCCGCCGGGCUCUGCGCAGAGGUGUUUCAGACCGGGGAGGCUGAAACACCUUCCGCCGGCGCGGAGCAUCGCGCACCCCCCGUGCCUGCGCCGCCGUAGCAGCGGUUUGAUUUAUCCGAGACAUUACCGGGACUGUUAUUCCAGGGAAGGCAGAGCGGAGCGCGCUCCCGGGGCUGUCCAUGUGCUUACCGCGCCACCGUGAGGCGGGCGCGGGCCCCGCACCGAGCGCCCGCCGCGCUCCCGGGGCAGCCGAGCGCGCCGCGGCCGCGGGGACCCCGCGCAGGGCGGACGGCGCCGUCGGGGCUCCGCCGCGGGCAGCCCGCAGCGCCCGGGGCUCCGGGACAGCGCACGCCGCUGCCUCUCGCCCGCUCUCAGGGGCCGGAGAAAGACGGGGAGAAUUUCAGGAGAAUUGAGGAGAUGGGAAUACGCAAAGCGAAAGCGCCGCACCUGUGUUUUCCUUAGCCCCCCGCCCCGGGACUUUCUCCCGCCUUCGCCUGUCUCGCCGCGGCCGGGCGCUCCUCGGAGGACUGGGGUGAGUAGGGCAGAGCGCAUCCCGGCCCGCUCCUCCCGCCGGCACCGCUCCCAGUAAAUCCCCUCCGACCCCCCUGCUGGAAGGCAGCGUCCCCUCGGAGCGUGUGCCAGGGAGCACUGCUGGCUCCUCUGCUCAUCCUCUUUCCGCCUCCUUCCCCGGCCAAAAUCAGGCCAGUUGCACUGUCCGGACUUCCCUGGAAGAUUUUCCUUCUCUAGUCGUUUAGGUGAUUUCCUAAAGCUUGAGGCUGGGGUUUUGGUUAUAUUUAUAUUAAUGGAAGGGGAAUAGGGAAAAAAGAAAAGAAGAAAGACUAGGCUGUCACCACCCAUGGACAUUACCUGGGGUGACACUGCUAAAAGUUGUGAACAAGGCUCAGCACGAUGAGGUUCUAAGUCAUGCUCCAGGCACAUGAAAGCUAUGGAAAUGGAUCCAGUGCAGGAGACAGAUCCAUUUAUACAGGGGCACAACACACCACUUACCUCUCACAGAAAGCUUUAACCCAGAAGGGGGUUCCUCUCAGGAGGCUUUUGCAGCUGGUGGAAAGCAUCCCAGCUACUGGAAAGCAUCCAUCAUGUCAAGGCAUCCCAGCAUCCAGAAAAGCACUGACUGCACUGGCAAGGUUGAAGUCCCUUAACUCCUACCUUCUAGUUGCACUGGCAGAGUAACCUCCACACUUGAAUCGUGAGAACUCUAAUAACAACUUCCAAAAAAUGGCAAUUACCUUCAGCUGUGCUUAGGAAUCACCUUAAGAUUGGAUACCUGAUGCUUUUCAUGCACGGAGUUAAAGUAGAAAAACAGUAGUGUGACUGUGGAAGGUGCAAGUAUUUCCACUGAAAUGCAUCUGCUCCCCUAAUCUGCGAAUUUCACCUAACAGCUGGAUUUGCCUGUUUGUCAUCCUAAUCAUUUUUCAACUCCGAUCUCUGUAGAGCAGGAUGACCAUAAACCACCACUAACAUACAAAAACGCAGCUCAAGAUUAACGGUGAUUUAAAAUGUGCUUUUCCAGAAGCAACCCAAAGCCACGCCAGAGAUGUUUAGAGCAAUCAUCACACUCAUACUACGGCAUGCACCUGUGCAGCCUCACAUAUUAUACCAAUUUUCCCAGCUUCAGCUGGGAAUAGCAGAGCUUGUCUCGGGUAGGAGGGGGACCAGGAAGAUCUGUGUCAGGUAGAGCUGUACCUGCACACACAUUAGAGGGGCUGAGAGAGGACUCGUGCUACAGGACCCCUCUACAGCCCACAGCAGCUCUAUUUUAUAUUCCAGCCCAGAGUAAACUCUAGGUCAGUGGUGUAAAUGUGAAAGUUGCUGAGGAUCUUCCCCCAGAAUCUCAGUGACAGAAAAGCCCUUGCUGAAACAUGAUGACUGCAAACCCUUAUCAGCACACCACAGUGCUUUUAUUUUCUCACUGGCAGUGUCCCAUUCUGACAGCACCUGCUGGAAUUCAACAGCGUGUAUAGGCUUUCUAUUGUAACACAGCAAUGAUUCCAUCAGUUUAUUUUUGUUUCAUACACCCACCCCCUCAAAUAAAAAAUAACCCCACCACUAAAGCACAAUUUUCAAUGUCCCUGACCAAACUAUUGUGCUACAAACAUAUACUGAGAAAAAACAAACAAACAAAAUUCCAAAUACAAACAAACAAACAAAAAGACCCAAAUAAAACCAAAUAAAAAUAUUGAAAAACAACCCUGAAGGUUAGAAUAAACAAACAAAGUUGUCUUUGACCUGGAGACUGGCCCACACUGCAAAUAAAUGUAUUACCACUUAGCCACAUAUACAUGCCACAUGAACAGAAAUAAAAGGAAUCCUCAAGAUAGGACAAUGAUUUGGUAUUUUAUAUUACUACCAUGGUGCACUUAUAAAUUUCACUGGUUUCAAGAUGUUCUUUAGGAUUUGUGACAAUAUGGCCUAAUCUUGCAGGCUCGUGCCACUGCCAGUUUCAUCCAGAAGCUCAAGUCCUGUGCCUGUGAAGUGCAUGCUUCAUAUCAAGAGACUCAAAAUGAUGAUGCUGGAAAGGAUUAACAGUUUAGAAAAUACCAAGACAAGAGGUUAAAAUGUCUACGAAGAUAUUUUGGGGUAGGGAGUUGUUUCAAGAUGUCCAGUUUUAUUUGGAGCUUGUAAAUAUCAUGACAUAUCCCACACCACGUCCUCCCUCCUCUCCUCUUUGGGCACUUCACAUAUUCUUACCCAAAUACGCAGUAGUAACUUCUUGCAACAAAGUUGACUAAGAAGCAAAUCACUGUAUAAAUCUUUCAAAACAUGUUUAAAUAUAGCUUAGUAAACCGGGGAUGUUGGGCAGAAACUGCUGAAAGCACUCAUACUGGUAAAGCUGAAAUGCGACAUGAUCUCAACAUAUUUGAACAUUCAAUUAUAUGAAACGUUUUUCCAGGGUAAUAUCAGAUUUAAGACUGAAGUGUAGUAAAUGUGAUUGGACUGUUUUGGAAUCUUCCUAAGACAAAUGACUGAAAGAUCAAGGUGUUUUAUUUCCUAUUUGGAUCAAUGAUCAAUAAGCCCUAUAUAUGAGAAUCACACAUUUUGAAUAGAAAACACAUUUUUUUAAUAAGUGCAAGUUAGACUGAAUAAAAUUACUAUGUUUGGAGAGCAAAGCUCACUAUUUUUUAAGUCAUUGCAAUCUAUAUAAUUAUGAAGUAACUUGAAUAAGGCAUUUUACAUUGGUCCUAAAUUUUUUACUCAAGUAAAACACUCAUUGAUUCCAAUGUGAGUGUUGCCUGAGUAAUAGAGUUCCCUGUCAAACUGUUAAAAUCAGCUAACUUCCAAAAGCCUGCAGAUUGAUGGAAUAACGUGAUUAUACUAAAGGUAUGUAUUUAAUAUGGAAAAAAAAAAUUCAAGUAACCAGGCAAAGCCUCUUCACAUUUCCCACUUACAAUAAACCAAGGCAGUAAUAAGUAAAUAUUUUUAGGGGGUUUAUAACUCUGUGCCUGCUCAUAAAGACAUUUCAGCUUGUGAUUUUAUUUAUGUAAGUCAUGCCAGUGAAUCAGUACUCUCAUGUCACAAGCAUCUGAGAUUUAGCAUCUAGGACAAUAGACAUAGGAAUAAACUGUCUUUAAAUAUUCCACUAGCAAAACAAGACUGCUUUUUGCCGUGGAUGGCACUGUAAGAGUUCUUUUGGAAUGUCGUGUUUAAAAGUUUGUGAGUGAUGAUAUACAUUCUCUUUGUUUUGAGUGAAUAAGCCCUUUGUCAACAUAACAUAGCAGAGUUAGAUUUUAAAAAGGUUCUCAUAGAAAGCCAGAAUUCCUUCACAAAAACCCAUCAGACAAACGAAAAAUACCGACAUACACCUUUUUCUUUUUUUUUUAAAUGAAGUAUUAAAGCUUGAUUCUAAUAAGAGUAUUAAGUAAAUAAAUGUUAGCUCUACUCAGUGCUAUUAGCAUAGUUGAAAUAGUAGUUUAUAAAUUUUUGAGAGCAUCAGCAUCAUGAUAUGGUUGUCAUAGAAACUGCAACAAUAUGUCAUUUCAAUUAAUUUUACAUGCAGUGAUGCUGAGGUCCAUGUAACAAUUCUUUUAGGAAGUUCUAGAAGUAAAUAUUGAAUAGCAGGAAUAAAAACAUUAAUAGGUAAUGGUACCCCUAAAUUAUUAUUUAAUUAACAAAAUGGGAAGAAAUCUAAAUUAUUCUAAAAUAAUGAGUGUGCUGGAGGAAUUAGUUAAGCAGACUUAGACUUCACAACACCAAAAUUAAAUGACAAAAGCUACAGAAAUAUUCAAACUCUAAGUAUCUUUUUCCAAAUAAAGCAGGGGAAAAGAAACAUAAAAAAGGAGAUUUAUUCCUGUUCACAAAAUAUAAAACAUGCAAUAGUUUUAAAUCAUCAAUGUUCCUUUUGUGCGUGCAAGAAGCAAAAAGUCAAACGUUACAAAUCCAGGACCACAAUACAAGAUUUUUAAAAAGCUUUAAAGGUAGGAAAUGUAACAUGAAUAGAUUUAUUUUUCCUGUAUAAUGCAGCUACUGUGUGUUAUAAAUGCUACCUUAAGUAAAUCAUUGCCAGACACACUCAACUGACAUUAAUGACUUGAUUAUUAGAACAGAAAAGCUAACCAAAAUAAAGGCAGUGUUUCUAAAAAAAUAAUAAUUGUAUUGUAGCAGUGUGAGUUUUUAUUUAUUAUUUUUUAUGUUAUGUAUGAACAUAUACUCCUGUUUUCUUAUUGCAUAUAUAUGAUACAAUACCUGACCUGAUAGUUUAUAUAUGAAAGAAAAUACUGAGCACAUCGUAAUGAGAAAAAAAUUUAGAUUUUCAACACAUUUUAUACAGCAAUCAAUACUUCCAUAGUAUAUUUUGUUUAAAUUUACUGAGUUGCCACACAGACUAGAACUGAGAUGUGAAACAAGCUGUUUGUAAGUAAAUAAAAACUAUCGAUAUUACAAAAAAGAAAAUAAAUUAAAAGGAAAAAGAAGAAAGCUCCAAGCCUAUGGAAGCUAUCUGCAGUGAGAAAGGAGAAGCAUCUAGAGCUCUCCUUUCUGAUAGGAUUAAGGAAUGCUACAAAAGAAGCAUUUAAAUCUCUAGUUUCCCCUGACAAUUAACAAUGAAAAGCAGAUGUUUACAAAGCUAUUUUACAUGCUCGUUUAUAAGAUGCUAAAAGAUGGUUUGUGGAUGGUAAGAAGGAAGAGCUGGAUAACUGCUUGUCUGGUGUAUAUUUAAAAGCAUUUUCAUUGGCUCAGUUAUUGUUAAUAAUGAAAGAAACACUUUGUGCUGUAUAGCUGUGACUAUAGAAAACUGCCAUCGUAAAGUCCUCAACAAACUCUUAAGAUGCAAUUUACAAAGAUAAUAAUAACACAGAAUUAUUUCACUUCUCUGAAUGCUACACAUUUGCAUACCAGGACUGUGUACAAUAUACUCAUAAUGCACAUUCAUAACAACAAGGACUUCUUAACAUUGCAACAGCACAAGAUCUGUGCAUUAAAAAUCUACAGUUCCAAGUUUUCCUUUUUGGUGGGAAACCAUUUGUAUAAACCAGAUGCUCUGCAUCUACUCAGAGAAAGCUCACGUUCAGCUCUACACCUUUAUUGAAUGAGAUCAUAUCGAGAAAAUGACAAAACACUGAAAGGUAGCAGCAAUAUUAAUAAAUUCCCCCUCACAGAGAAACAUGGCCAAUUAAGUUUUCACACAAAUUUGAGCAGAAGUCUGGUCUAUAACUGUGAGUCAGGAGAUGUGGGUUCUAUUCCUGGCUGUGCUACAAACCUACAGAGUGUUUCUGAACAAGUCACUUACACCAAGUCACUUGAGUAGAAAAAUGCUAAGAAUGCCUGUCUCAAUUUAGACAGACGCAUAUCUGCCUCUAUCUGCUUCAAUGCGUGCAAAUGUGGACGUAAGCCCCUAAAAACCUGGGGCCUACCCUUUUUGGACUUUGCAUCUUAUCCUAUUUCUAUACCUGGAGGGAGCCUGUUGGAGACUUAAUUCAUGAAAGACUCCUCACAUACUGAUUAUAUUUAUGCAAAACUAGAUCCCCAUUAAAAGGCCUAGCCCCGCUUGUUUCACGCUCACAUUUCACUUCACACAUUUGUAGGAGUCCCAUUUACUCUAAUAGAAUUAUUCACCCUGUAUAAUUCUGGGCAUCUAAACUUCUGCAGCAUCAGGAACUAAGUUAAUGGAAUAGAUAAUGUAUAGAAAUACUCAUAGAUAGUAAUGAGCUUCAGCAUUCACACUUCAAAUCCUGCAUCACAUUCGAUAGGAGGAUUUUUAAGUAUUGCUAUUACAACACCCUGGUACAAGUAAGACAAUGCAUAGCUUACUUGACAUUAAAAUUUUUUUAAAUCUUGGAAUAUCUCCAUUUUCAAAAUAAACAAAACUCUCUUUGCAAAGUAAACUAAUUCCAAAAUCUGCAGUUCUAAUCGUAAAAGGCACUCAUAAAUCACCUGUGUGUCGCCACCAUCCAAGCUGCUUUUGGUUUCUGCCUCAGCCACUGAAUAAAUUCUACUUUUUGUUAAUGCUUAUGUUAUUCCUACUACUUCUCCAGUUGUGAAUGAAUAUAUUACACUAAAGUACAAAAAUAUUUAAUUCAUAUUAGUUGGCUAGAUUUCAUUUCCUCGACGGACUCUUCUGCAACUCAGACUUCCCAUCUCCGGGACACUCUCUUGGACUAAAAUCGUGCUACAUGCAUAAUGAUAUGCAAAGUAGGUCAAGUUUCCAAUGUGGAGCUACAGCCAUCCUUAACUUCACCCAAAUGGAUACUGCUCACAUGGUGAAAACUAAACAUGCAUAGAAAUGUUUACAGAAUUUGGGCUGAAAGUAGCAAACAGUCUUCCUACCUUAGAUGGAUUUUACCAUAACACAAAUUAUUUACACAGAAAUCUAACAGCAAGGGAUAAUUGAAAAUAUUUAUCUACCUUUCAACAAAACAGUACGGGGAAAAUACCUUCCCAGCAGCUGUUAUUAGUAGGGCAGAAGGGGACAAAAGAAGGAAACGGCUUCUCUCUGAGUCAGUAACAGCCUGCACUGGUGCUGCACUAUUGCCAAGUACCAAACCAGCUAAUAAAAUGCAGCUCACAACUGCCCACGGUUUCUAGUACCACAUUCCCCAGCCCUGAAACACAAAAGGUAUCCUCCCUUCUCCCUCCCCUCCUUCCCACAGAAAUUACACUCCUGGCUGGGUCCUUGACUGCUGGCCUGCCACAACCACAGAGCAGGGAACACAAUUUGCCUCUGUCUCAGUAUUUUGCCGUUAUUUUAAUUUGAUGGUAUUUUAAUAAUACAGAGUGGUUAGACUCCUCAGACUGCCAUCUGAAAUGUUGGUGACUAAGGGUUCUGUUCUGAGAAGGUUCUUUCAUUUUUUAAAAUUAUUUUUUAUUUAAGAUUUUUCUUAUUCUCUGGCUUGAAUAUUUCUUUCAAUUAGCUUUCUCAUUUAAGCAAUAGAAAGGUUAGCAUUAUAGGGUUGGGGUUUCUCUUAACUUAGGAAAUGUUUACGGUGUUCAUCAAAAGAGUCGAUGUUCCUGGAAGUUGGAAUUAAAAGGAAAAGCAUGUUAAGAAAAUAAAGAGCACUUUAGAAUCAAUCUGGUCACACACACCCCAGAUUCCCCAACUCGUAUAGUCAGCAAGCAAUCAUUUCUUUAGUAUGGCAAUUUUCCACUUAAGCACUGAAACAUCAGCCUCGAUUGUAAAGCAGCAUUCAGGGCACCAUAGCUUCUGCCUUUGCUUUUCUUGUCCUUUCUACAGCCUAGAGUUGUAAAGGACAUUCGUCCUGUUAUGUUUUUUUAAUGUACAAAAGUGGGGACAGCUGAGUGGGGAAUUAGCAAUGUAUAGGAUUUGAAUGCACACUUUUAUCACAGCCACACAUGAUGAACCUUUUAUAGAACAUCCUCAACACUCGUGUUCAGCACAGGGAGCAAUUCCUGAAAAACAGCACUAAAUUCUCUGACACACUUCCUAAGGUUCUGGGUCAAAGGAAGAGACACGGGGAUUUGUCAAGGUCUAUUUAAUGAGUCUGAGAAAUGAAAACACUAAAAUCUGUGGUUUAAAUGUAGUACACUAUACCAAAUCCUUUUUUCAGUUUGAAAAAUCUCAUUUCUCUCCUAUACAGUGUUUGGCGUACUUGUUUUCUAAGAGUGAGAUUCAAACUUUUCAAAGCCUUUGCAUAAGGAACUUGCUUCUUUUUGCUCAUAAAAUUAAUGAAUGAUACAAAUCCUUUGAUUUAGAGAGAAGCUUUAUUUUGUGGAGAAUAUUAAGAGAUUUUACUGUUGAUAUUUCCACAUUAAUAUACAUUAUUUAUCUCCACAGGGUGGCGAAAAAGAGAAAAUUGCAAAGACUUACUGGGUGGCAGGAAGUGGGAUUCACUAUAAUCAACAGCAGCAGGGGACUCUUUGAGGUUGUGUUGCAAGAUAUAUUCAAGAUUUUAGCAGAAAGAAAAUAAUUGCAUUUAAUAUUGUGCUGGUGGGAAAUAACAUAUGUUCAAUCUUUUCCAGCCUUUACACUUACAUUUAGAUUUAGACUCUUGCCCUUUCGAUGCAGAGAUACUACUCCUUAAAAUCUGGAUUUAUUUUUUUUUAUUCUUAUUUUUAACCACACUUAUGCAGAGAAUAUCCUGUUAUUAGCCAGCUAGAUUUUUAUGCUACUUGCAAAUUUUACUUCAAAAAUUUACUAAGGUUUCAUGAACAUACUCAGUGGACUAAAUAAAUAACUCUAUGUAAGCAAGCUAUUGCCAAAACACAGUAACGUUUCCAGCAUUAUUUUACUUUAGAUACUUUUUUAAUGUAAAACCCAAAGAUUAUAGCUUUUCUCUGAUGUUUGCUUAAAAUUUUUUUCUCGUUCAAAUCACUACAUUUCUUAGAAAUUCAGAACUUCUUUAAAAUGGAUGUAGCUCUGUCUGUGUAAAGAGUAAUAAGUUGAUGAAAUAUUUGCAGUUAGCUAAUACAAAAAAGCUGACAGUCAUAUAAAAGUUUUCCACACUUAAAGGGAUUAAAAAUUUGUGCAUAUGAUAAUUGAGCUUCAAUCUUAGUUUAUAGCUCAUAAAAGUUCAGGAAAUUAAAAGUAGCUGUCUAGUAUAAGCUAACUGUGCAGAAUUUCUUUAUAAUCAAAUCCAUCCAUCCAUACAGAGAGGUAUCACCAAAGCACAUUUCAUUAUUGCCUGGUUUGCCCAUGAAGUAGAAGAGGAACUAGCACUGGAGAAGUCUGUCCCUUUCUCCCACUUUGAAAAAGACCUAGAAACAAUACAUUUAGGCUAGAUACCAGUAUUGUAGAGACUAAGACAAGUGAGAUGAAUUCCAAUUUCCACAGUAAUUGCAACUCUUGUCUAGUCUUACCAUUUACCUUUAGUCAUUCCCUGCUCUGUGAUACUUCAGAAUGGGUAUCUUGGAGCAGAUCAUCAUCUGUGUAAAGGCUAAAGGAGCAGGCACAAUUUAGGCCAAUAGCAUCAGCCUAUUCCUUCCCUAUGAAUUUAGUUGCACACUUCAAGGAACCAUAUUAAAUUAUUUUUCAAUGAAAAUCUGUUAAAUGUGGUUUUUUUUUUUCAUAACCCUAUUGCUUUAUUGAUUUUCUCUGUAAAUACAAAUGAAAUUACAUGUAUAUAUGUGUAAAAACACUUAAUGGAUUUCUGGAAUAUUAAAGAUGCCAGACUUGGACUUUAUAUUGACAGGGGCUUACAGGUGGCUACCAAGAGACUUAAACUGGGAGGUUUGAGUGGGAGGAGGAGGGGGAGAACAAUCUUCCAUUCAAGAACAGUCUUCUUAAAAGUCAUGUCAAGGCUAAACAGGCUGGUUCAUUGGUAAAAUGUAAUAAAUAUAAAUACAUGCACUUCACAAGCUGCAAUUCCACGGUUACUUUACACAGCUUAAUGACUGGCAUGUACUUUUUUUACUUUUAAAAAAAAUAUUUACUUUUCUUGCUCCACCUACACUGCCAGCAGUAACAUUACACGGCUCCAUGCUCUGUCAGCUGAAGCAACUGCUGUGGUUUUUGGGGGCAAGGAGAGGGGCUCUGCUGUGAUUUGGAAAAGUGCAACUACACAAAAGAGUAGUGCAGGCCCAGAGGGAACAGCGGCAGGGAAUGGGUGCCGGUGUGGAGAUCAGCUCAGAGAAAAGGUGGAACUGCAGCCUGGAGGUGGGAUCUGAUGGCACCUCAAACCCACAAAGAAUCCAGGUUAUCAGAGCCCCAUCUACAACCAAGGCUCUCCAUUCUUUCCCUUGCCUCAGCACUAACACCCACGCACGUGCACAGGAGCCAGCCCAGGGAGGCUGCUCAUCUGUAAGCUAACCCCACCAAAGUGAAGAGAAAAAAAAUAAAAUAAAAGAACAAUGAAACAAAAAAACUUUUCAGCUAGAUCUGUUCCAAGGAGCAAUUCACAGAUGGAUCAGACAAGAGCCAGUGCCAACACAGUGCAGAAGGUGGAAACACAGAGCCAGAGCCAAUAGAGGAGAGGACAAAGCAGCCCAAACUUAGAUCAACUCCAGCUGUGAUGAACUCAGAGCUGGAGCCAGCCUGACCACUUAGAAGCUUCCUAAAACCUCUGCACUUUCUCUAAAAACACUGAGAUAGAAUGAGUAAGUAUAAAGAGUUUAAAUUACCAUGAUACCAGAGAAAUAAAAUCAGGAUUCUUACUUAAACACUGAGCGGGUCAAGAAGCAAGAAAAAGCUGUCAUGGUCUUAAAGAUAUCUAGCAGAGUUUCUGUAGGGUGUAACAGGCCAGGAAAAAUCCUUCCUGAACCACAUAGAUCACACUUGUGAGUAAAUUUCUCCUUUCUAAGCCUUCAUUGUGUAGAUGAGAAGAUAAAGUAGAGACCUUUUGAGAAGGAUUGAAAAAGACUGAAACCAACAAGAGUAGGAGCUGGCAUUUGGAAAAUUAUUAGUGUGGAAGACAGCACAUUUUUUCUCUGUGCAAAAUCUAAAUUCUGCCAUCCCACACCCUUAAAACAUGAAUAUUUUCUUACUUGAGGAUAUGUCAGUUUUUAGAACAAACAGAUUUAUCUGGCUAACAUUUGUAUGGGCAACUACAUACACAUGAUGAAGUGUUGGAAAACUGAAUCUAUAAGAACAGAGAAAAAUACUUAGGAGACAAGAAGUCCAGAACAAAAAAUUUCUAAUACUACACUCAACUCUAAAUUAAGCAAAAACUCUAAUAUGUUGACAACAGUAACAACAGCAAGAAAAAAAGUCUCUGUAAAAUAUUGAUUUGGAAAUUGCAGACAAAAGCUGCAGGGAAGCUACAAAGUAUUGGUGUGUUAAUUCCUAAAAGCGAAUAGGCUAUUUGGAAGCACAUAAAUAAAUAGAUAUUAGUUAGUAGGUUUAGCUUUCCCACUGAAGAUUGCACUAGUUGGAAGGAAGAUAAAAUCUAUCACUGAUUUUGGGGAAAACACCUAAAAAAAAUUAGGCAAGUUUAUAUUGACCAUAUACUUGCCAAAAGGCCCAGAAGGAAGAAUUCUAGCAGACAACAAGGUGACACAUGGACUGUUCCCAGAUAUACAUUGAUUAGCAGGCAGGUCUUCAAAUGUAACUAGGAUAAAUCAAUUUACAGAUACUUUUGUGCUCCCACUUCCUGUCUUCUCCUGAUAAUUUAGGUAAUUAGUAUAAAUUAUUUGCAGACACAAAAAGAGAGAUCUAAAAGUAAAGGAGUGGAAUCAAGGUAUGUUGAAGGUCAACACAAAGACAUUCUGGAGGACAGCAAUGGAGAGCAGUAUGGAAAGAGUGUAAAGGAUACUUCAAGGGGAAAAUGCUGCAAAUCUGAGGAAUUCAAGAAGAGAAAAGCAGGCAAAAGUAAUACUCAUGCAAUCAACACAUUUUCAGAUUUGUACAAUUAAUGGAUGACAGAUUUCAAGAAAUAAAAUUUUCUCAGAAGUAAAAGUUUCACGUGUGAUGUCCUCUGUCUUAUGCACAGGAGAAGGAAGGUAAGGAACUUGAUUUCAAAGUUUUGUUUGCUGGCCUGCCCUGGCUGAGAUAAUAAAAGCAAAGUUUGGUUAAUCUAA